CUCUCCGGCAAUAUCGUCAAUCCCUCAGUGAACCAUCCUGCACAGCCUACACCAGCUUGCAUAGAAUUCAACUAGGACUGGUAUAUUACUUAAAAUAAAUUUUCCCAUGAGUCCUUAGUGACAGCUGCAGCUGUACAUACCCCAAAGAUGUGAAUAAGAAGGUCAUCAAACAUUAUGCUCUAGUCUCUAGAUGUUCCACCAAAUUCCUGGCACAAAAUCUUUAGUUUGCAAGCAAAUAAAUAAGCAGAAAUUAAACCAACACCAAAUAAGUAGGCUAAAUGUAUCAGUUCACCAAUUAUUAUCAAGAAAUAAACUGGUUCAUUUCAAUUCAUAUAUUACAUUCUCAUGAAAUAAUUAUCAUGCACCCAAAGCAUGGAUGAAAGACUAAUUAGUUCAAAUUAGUCUAUCUAUUUAAAAAAUAGGGAAAAACACAAAAAAAUACCUUGAUUCCACGCCUUGACACAUUAAGUGCCAUUGUUUAAUUUUUGACAAUUUGAUACUGUUAGAGUCCAAGUCUAAUUGAAAUUAGGAAGUAUAAUUA
rnacentral:misc_RNA from 1 species